rnacentral:rRNA from 1 species
AUUGAACGCUGGCGGCAGGCCUAACACAUGCAAGUCGAGCGGAGCGGCGGACGGGUGAGUAAUACCUGGGAAUCUGCCUGGUAGUGGGGGAUAACGUCCGGAACCGGGCGCUAAUCCCGCAUACUAUCAGAUGAGCCUAGGCCGGAUUAGCUAGUUGGUGGGGUAAAGGACUACCAAGGAGACGAUCCGGAACUGGUCUGAGAGGAUGAUCAGUCACACUGGAACUGAGACAAUGUCCAGACUCGUACGGGAGGCAGCAGUGGGGAAUAUUGGACAAUGGGCGAAAGCCUGAUCCAGCCAGGCCGCGUGUGUGAAGAAGGACUUAGGAUUGUAAAGCACUUUAAGUUGGGAGGCGUUACCAACAGAAUAAGCACCGGCUAACUUCGUGCCAGCAGCCGCGGUAAUAC